rnacentral:rRNA from 1 species
UAAUACGAAGGGGGCAAGCGUUGUUCGGAUUUACUGGGCGUAAAGGGCGCGUAGGCGGAUUUGCAAGUCAGAGGUGAAAGCCCUGGGCUCAACCCGGGAAUGGCCUUUGAGACUGCAAGUCUUGAGUGCGAGAGAGGGUGGCGGAAUACCCAGUGUAGAGGUGAAAUUCGUAGAUAUUGGGUAGAACACCAGUGGCGAAGGCGGCCACCUGGCUCGCAACUGACGCUGAGGCGCGAAAGCGUGGGGAGCAAACAGGAUUAGAUACCCUGGUAGUCCACGCCGUAAACGAUGUGUGCUAGCCGUUGGUGACCUUUUUGGUCGUCGGUGGCGCAGCUAACGCGAUAAGCACACCGCCUGGGGAGUACGGCCGCAAGGUUA